rnacentral:rRNA from 1 species
GACGAACGCUGGCGGCGUGCUUAACACAUGCAAGUCGAACGGAAAGGCCCUGCUUUUGUGGGGUGCUCGAGUGGCGAACGGGUGAGUAACACGUGAGUAACCUGCCCUUGACUUUGGGAUAACUCCAGGAAACUGGGGCUAAUACCGGAUAGGAGCUCCUGCUGCAUGGUGGGGGUUGGAAAGUUUCGGCGGUUGGGGAUGGACUCGCGGCUUAUCAGCUUGUUGGUGGGGUAGUGGCUUACCAAGGCUUUGACGGGUAGCCGGCCUGAGAGGGUGACCGGCCACAUUGGGACUGCGAUACGGCCCAGACUCCUACGGGAGGCAGCAGUGGGGAAUAUUGCACAAUGGGCGGAAGCCUGAUGCAGCAACGCCGCGUGCGGGAUGACGGCCUUCGGGUUGUAAACCGCUUUCGCCUGUGACGAAGCGUGAGUGACGGUAAUGGGUAAAGAAGCACCGGCUAACUACGUG